GGAGUUUGGACCGUGUCUCAGUUCCAAUGUGGGGGACCUUCCUCUCAGAACCCCUACCGAUCGGGGGCUUGGUGGGCCGUUACCCCGCCAACAACCUAAUCGGACGCAUCCCCAUCCCUUAGCGAUAAAUCUUUGGUUCACUUCAGAUGUCCUCGACGAACAACAUAGGGUAUUAAUCCGACUUUCGCCGGGCUAUGCCCUACUAAGGGGAAGGUUGGAUACGCGUUACUCACCCGUGCGCCGGUCGCCAUCGACAAUAGCAAGCUAUCGUCAUGCUGCCCCUCCGACUUGCAUGUGUUAAGCCUGUAGCUAGCGUUCAUC
rnacentral:rRNA from 1 species